CUAUGAAGAAGUGACUUAAUGGAUAAUCUUUUGAUUUUUUCUUAAUUUGUAUUAGUUGAGAAGUUUAUCUAAUAAUAGGGAUACUAUUAAUCCUGAGUUGGAUACUUGGAUGUAAUUUUUCUUUGACCCAUCAAAGACAAAAUAAAAUGCAAUUUUUUCAGUCACCAAAUGAUUUGGUGCUGUGGUGUAUAUAAGGGGGUUGUUUCUCCACCAAUCAUUUUUCGCUUGUUAUUGGGGUUGAUCUGCUCCACCAAUCUUUUUUCUCUUACCAGUUAUCACUAGUGUGGGGGG